rnacentral:rRNA from 1 species
AACGUAGGAGACAAACGUUAUCCGGAGUUACUGGGCGUAAAGGGCGUGCAGGUGGUCUGUUAAGUCUGGCGUGAAAGCUCUCGGCUAAACCGGGAGAGGUCGUUGGAUACUGGCGGACUAGAGGACGGUAGCGGUGUGUGGAAUUCCGGGUGUAGUGGUGAAAUGCGUAGAGAUCCGGAGGAACACCAGUGGCGAAGGCGACACACUGGGCCGUACCUGACACUAAGACGCGACAGCAUGGGGAGCGAACGGG